rnacentral:rRNA from 1 species
UCCCUCGGGAAACUGAGGUUAAUAUCUGAUAGGAGAUUUAUACUGGAAAGAUUAAUCUUUAAAAUUCGAGCCUAAGGAUGGGGCUGCGGUGGAUUAGGUUGUUGGCGGGGUAAUAGCCCACCAAGCCUUUGAUCCAUAGGGGCUCUUAGCGGAGAAGCCCCGAGAGGGAAUCUGAGACACUAUUCCCAGCCCUACGGGGUGCAGCAGUUAGGAAUAUUCUGCAAUGCGCGUAAGCGUGACAGAUUGAGUCAGAGUGCGCUUCAAUUUGGAGUGCUUUUGCUAAAUGUAAAAAGUUUGGCGAAUAAGGACUGGGUAAGACGAGUGCCAGCCGCCGCGGUAAUACUCGCGGUCCAAGUCGCAGCCAUUUUUAUUGGGUCUAAAACAUCCGUAGCUUGCUUGGUGAGUUCCUUGUGAAAUUCUAUAUCUCAAAUAUGGAGCGUGCAGGGAGUACUGCCAAGCUAGAGACUGGAAGACGUAACGAGUACGUUUGGAGUAGCGGUAAAAUGUGUUAAUCCCGGACGGACUAACAAUAGCGAAGGCACGUUACGAGGACAGUUCUGACAGUAAGGGAUGAAGGCUAGGGGCGCAAAACGGAUUAGAUACCCGUGUAGUCCUAGCAGUAAACACUGCACACUAAACAUUAGUACCUCCUCGAGAGGUAUUGGUGCUGAAGGGAAGCCGAAGAGUGUGCUACCUGGGAAGUAUAGUCGCAAGGCCGAAACUUAAAGGAAUUG